rnacentral:rRNA from 1 species
GACGAACGCUGGCGGCGUGCUUAACACAUGCAAGUCGAACGGAAAGGCCCUGCUUUUGUGGGGGGCUCGAGUGGCGAAAGGGUGAGUAACAUGUGAGUAACCUGCCCUUGACUUUGGGAUAACUUCAGGAAACUGGGGCUAAUACCGGAUAGGAGCUCCGGCUGCAUGGUGGGGGUUGGAAAGUUUCGGCGGUUGGGGAUGGACUCGCGGCUUAUCAGCUUGUUGGUGGGGUAGUGGCUUACCAAGGCUUUGACGGGUAGCCGGCCUGAGAGGGUGACCGGCCACAUUGGGACUGAGAUACGGCCCAGACUCCUACGGGAGGCAGCAGUGGGGAAUAUUGCACAAUGGGCGGAAGCCUGAUGCAGCAACGCCGCGUGCGGGAUGACGGCCUUCGGGUUGUAAACCGCUUUCGCCUGUGACGAAGCGUGAGUGACGGUAAUGGGUAAAGAAGCACCGGCUAACUACGUG